GGCCGCAGUAUAUUAACUGUGCAAAGGUAGCAUAAUCAUUAGUCUUUUAAUUGAAGGCUGGUAUGAAUGGUUGGACAAAAUAUUAACUGUUUCAUAAAAAUUUAUAAUAAAAUUUUAUUUUUUAGUUAAAAAGCUAAAAUUUAUUUAAAAGACGAGAAGACCCUAUAAAUCUUUAUAUUAAUAUUAUUAUAAUUUUUUGGAAAUAUUUAAUUAUUAUAAUUUAUAAUAUUUUAUUGGGGUGAUAUUAAAAUUUAAUAAACUUUUAAUUUUUUUUUCAUUAAUUUAUGAAUAAUUGAUCCGUUAUUAACGAUUAAAAAAAUAAGUUACUUUAGGGAUAACAGCGUAAUUUUUUUGGAGAGUUCAUAUUAAUAAAAAAGAUUGCGACCUCGAUGUUGGAUU
rnacentral:rRNA from 1 species